GCCGUAAUUAGACUUAUUUUUAUUUUGUAUUUAAUCGCUCUAACUAGAGUACGUUCUAUAUCAAAUAUUAACUGGCAGCAAACACCAGAAGCUGAUCCCACCAUAUUUGAGUAUCAUCCUUUUCCAGACUCAACAACAGACAUAAUUGAUAAUCAAUGAGAGACUUUAAUGAUUUUCGUUAAAAAUGAAAUAAACAACUUACUACAAUUGGA